ACCUCAACUCUCCAAAAGUCUGCCAGCAGAAUGGAUCAUACAUGUGAUAGCGUUCUUGCAGUGGUUUCAGCUGUAUGGCGUUUAGUGUCACGUCUACACAUGGUAGGCUAUCGCUACAGGCAAAGUGAACAGGUUUUACUGUUAGAACUGAUCAAUCACAAUUGGAAGUUGAACUUCAGAAACUUGGAUGUUUGAGAACAGCACUCCCUGCACAGAGCCUGAUCCACCCUGCAGAUAUAAGACACAUUACAUUAUAUCUAAAGACAAUGAAGAUUUGUCAAACUUUACAAACAACAUGAAUGUGUUUGAAGAAAUCUGAAUUGAUCAUCGCUUCAUGAAAAAUAGACACAGGCUUUGGUGUUGUACCUCCCUAGACUUCCAAUGCUGAUUCCAUGCCCUGGCCCACAGUUCACGUUGUGUAUGUAUACAUUCGAGCAUCCAGUUUGUAUUGAAAUACAAUCAUCUCCUGCACAAAUUAAUAGAAUUUAGGAGCUUUAUUUUUACUUUUUAUCAACAGAUGAAGCUAUAUAUGGCCAAUUUGUCAUUGUCUUUCUCAUCCUUCUUGUCUUAUCUAUGUUAGGUCCACUUCUGAUUCCACUCCCUGCCCACUAUCAUACUAAAUUGUUUUUCACAGAUGUGGGCAUUAAGCUUCAUAUACACUCUGUGAUAUCGGCUAUGCUUGACAUUUAGACCCUUUUAUGUUUACUAUCCAUCUCAUACUACUAUGGAGCUUAUUCUACAUCUACUUACCCUCUGCAUUAAAAAUACAAUGCAGUUAGAGAGAUAGAGUGUUUUGUUACCAUCAAUCCUAAAAGUUUAAACCAUUCAAAACCGAUUCAAAUUAUGUACGUCAAGUGUCAGCUAUGAAGUAAGCCAUAGUAAGCAAAAGGGCAUAAGUGGAUAAGGGAAGAGGGAUGGUAAGCAGAACUUGAGGAGGAAAAUAGUGAGGGCGUUUGAAGAAAAAUUAGUUUUCCUAUCUGCGGGGUUCAAAGAACCUAAUCCUUUAUUGGGUGGUUCCCUGCAUCAAAAAUAACUGGGUGGCUAGGAUGCUUGGAGUACUAUGGGUUGAUUGUUGCCAUGUGUCAAAUUCUUAGUGAUCAGACAUUGUUCAUGGUGAAGAAUGAGGCUGCUACUAGGAUAAGAUUGUGCCUUAAAUUCUAGAAUCCCCUUCCAGGAAUAUUGAGACAGCAGGGAAUGUAAAUUACCGCAAGCCAGAGUAGUGCUGUGAAUGAGCACAUCUUUGGAGUUCUGUAGGUGAAUCCCAUCAGUAUUUGGACUAUCCCCAGGGGAUGAGACGCUAAUAUCAUGGACC